rnacentral:lncRNA from 1 species
GAGAGCAGAGGAAGCGGAAGUGCACGGCCUGCCGGGGGGUGCGGUGAGAAGCUGAGUGCAGUGGCACCCCGGCCCGAGCAGCACCCACUUUUUGCUGGGGCUCUGAGACCUGAGUCCCUCCUUGUCCCUGCCCCGCAGGCUGGGCUGGGCUGGGGGGCGCUGCAGCCCUGUCCUGCACACGGUGGAGCAGGACCGCCGCGGCCUGCUCACGCGCCCAAGCAGACCCUGAGAACAAGAUUCGAGACGCAAUCCGUACAAUGUGGAUGCAACACAGACCAGAAAUGAUUCGUAAAAC